UUUAAAUGUGGUCAUGGGUUUCUAUCUACUACGUUUGAUCCUCUAUUUUAUUUGAAAUUUUUUUAUGAUCAGUAUUUUUACGCGUGAUUUUUAAAUUUUUUUUUAAAAAAAAUUAAAUAAGACAGACGGUUAAAUAUUGGACACCGAAACUCAUGGCUAGACUUAAA
rnacentral:pre_miRNA from 1 species